UUCCCUUCCCUUCCCCUCCCUGAUACACUGCGAGGAGAUGACUAAAUGCUGCCACAGGAGGGAGAAAAACAAACAGGAAAGAACUCAAAGGGCUGGGAUAGGGCUGCAAAGCAAAAGGCAUAAAUCACUCAGCUCUUCCCUCCCCGAGCUCUCCUGCAGCCAGCACAUGCACACCACCUCCCUUCUGGAUGAGGCUUUGGCAUGAACGGCAGAUCCCAUUAAUGCUCCUUCAUGUUACCACAGCAGAGCAACGCUUGGCAAGAGGAUGCAGGAUACUCCCUCAAGAAAACUUUGAAGGAACAGUGCUGCACGGCUGGACUAGGCCUCACAAGAAUGCCAACACACUCCCUCCUGCUUCCUUCUUCCCACAGAGCUAAGCUAAACAUGGAUCGUGUAUCCCAUACACUCCUUCAUCUACCACCAACCUUCAACUCCCAGCAACACCUCCAACGACGUGCACAAGAGUGCCACUCUGUGUGGCUGGAGUGGAGAGGGAAAUUCUUGUGAUACCCAUUCUUCUUGACAAAGGUCAAUUAUUUUGACUAGGUGUAUUAAUGAAGUGCAAACUGACAAGCAACGAAGAGACUGGCUAGUGAGCUGCUUCUUACUUCCACCAGGAGCCUUGAAGUGCAGGACAGAUUCCAGGAAAGAUUUUCUGGAAAAUGAAGAGAGACCCAAUAAAGUCUCUAAGCCUGGGCAAGUCAAUAAACUGUCACAGUUGCCCGGAAGGAAUUGGCUUGUCUUAGAUAAACUCACAAAGGCCCUGAAAAAACAGGACUUUUUUAAACGGCAGAGAUUAAUUUUCUGACUUCAAAGAAGUAUUAAUGCAGAACUUGGCUAAGGUUUCCUGCACAAGCAGUUUCCCCCCGAGCAAUGAUUUCAGAAUCCGCCUUGUUUUAAGGCUGGCAUUUGCUGCAGCUGCAGACCUGGAGUAUUUUCGAUCCCCUCUGAGUGCUGGAACACUAUCCAACAAUUAAACCGCAACCCAAAAACAAUCAAACAUCUGUUUGGAGGCAGGCUGCUCAGUGACUGACAUUCUCCUGCCAGCAUAAACACUAUAGCUGCUGAGUGAUUCCUGUCUUUUGUGUGUGUGUGUAUACAUAUGCACUGCUUGUGUGUUUUUUUGUUCCUGCAUGCAGUAUGUGUAAAUAUGCUUCAGAGCAUUUUUAUUGCAAUGUAUGGACAUAACCGUAUAGCUUAUUUGUGGAAGUAUUUUCAUUGGCAUAAGCACAUACAUUUGAGUGUCAGCUUGAGAUUUGGUUAUUUGUGUGCUGGAGGUGGCUUUGCAGGAAGCAAAUGUGAAUGUGGACUGAGAGUCUGGAAUCAGGUAUGUGUUUAUACAGUGCUGGGUGUACUGGUGUGUGUUCAUUUGCAGACAUCAGCUUGUUUUCAUCCGGGCAAAAACAGCAUUGCAACUGCAUGAAGUUUUACAUAGAAGAUUUUAGGGUGUUUGCAUGUGUGUGCGCAUGUAGAGCCGUCCACAUUAAGGUGUUUGUGCUUUCUGAUGGAUGUUUUUUCUACACCCUACCUCCAUGAACGCAUCAGCUAUUUGGGCCCAGAAAGGGAGAUAACAGACUGCUGGAAACCGUUCAGAUUUGGGUUCAAAAGAACAGCUAGGUCUGGCCCUGAUGAAAUUUCAGCCUCCUAAAACCCCUGAUUACAAGAACUCUCUCGCCUGGGACCAUGGCAGUGCAUCCAAAGAUGAUUUGUCUCCAGGGCUUUGGGGUGAUGAAGGGAUGGGGUGAUGAAUACUGAUGUUAGGUCUGGCUGCCUAGAGGCCAAAUUAGUCUCUUUCCUAAAAGCACUUUACAGACUCCAUGCAGGUAGCUGCUUUUGUCCUCUUUUAUUUAUAGACUUCAAAUAACCGUGGGCUGUUGAUGGCCUGGAUAAAGCAGUAUGCAAAUGACAUUCGUUCCCAACAGGAACUCCCUCCCUAUAAAACUAAGACCAGCUUUCAGGAAACACAAUUGUUCCCAAUCCAAGCCAAAUGACAGCUUGUGCUGCUCCUACCAGUUCUCCCUGAACCCCCAAGGUCUAGAGACUGCUGCUUGCCAUUUGUGGUGUCUUUAUACACCUAGCAAUAUGUGAGUCACCACAGCAGGUGCUAGCCAUAGCCUGCUCACUUGAAAACAUCAGUAUCAAAAGUGACAGAAUCUGGGCCACCCACUGGCUGUAUUUCUGGAGCAUCCCUCUGUCUAGGAGAGAGCAGCUGGAGCUUUUUGCUUUAGAGCAUUUCUCAAAUAUCCUAUUGCUGGCAUAUAAGAACACGCCAGCAAAGGAAAGAAAGAUUCGAUGAUCUUUCCACUGUGAGCCCCACACUUAACUUAUUGUUGUAAUCACCUCAUCUUGUGUACCAGCCUUGUUUUUCUUCUUGUUAGAUAAGCUCAGACAGUGUACUAGAUAAUAGAUUUGCCUCGGAAAUCAUAGGAGGUUCUAUUGUUUAGCAGUUAGGGCAGAGUGUGGACCACAGAGCAUAUUAGAAAAGCACAGAGAAUCAGCAUUCUGCUGCCCAGGUGCUACAGAACAUGAACAACACAAACAUGAACAACACAAACAGAAAGCUCUGCCCACAGCAGGAUGCAGCGUCAAGAGGUUCCAAGAUCUGCCUCUGCCUCCGCAAUGACCUCCACACUUUAUUUAAGGUUCUCUUCCUCUUUCUAUUAUGGAGCUUGUGGCUGGUUACAGUCUGGGACUGCACCCCUAUUUACGGCCCGAAAAAGUGGUGUGGUGGCUGAACUGGGAAGCUCCUGUAGGCAGUCGGUCAACUGCAGUAACUGGCUCUGUCCGUUCAAGUUCUGUGAGCCCCAGAGAAAAAAAAAAAAAAAAAGUGCUUUGGCAGGUCUGGCACUGAUGGCAUGGGAUGGAGGAGGGUGAAGUGUUUCCUCCACUUCCCUCACACUGGCUGCUCCAGUGUUCUUCCAGAAUGAGCUACUGAAACUGCAAUGUAGAGACUGCAUGGCACAAUGUUCAGGGACUAAGGUAACUCCUGACAGUACUCAUUUCCUACUUCAUCACAAAUUUUUGUCCUUUACUUGCAUGUAGGAGAAGUAACAGCCUUUCAUUCUGACUACAAGAAUCACAAAGGAAAUGCAGUGGAUGGGCUGAAUUUGGAAUGAUGCUCUUGUGCAGUUAUACUACGCAGCUACUUCUCAGAAGUCUUGCCAGUGGCUUGCACGAUCUGUGUGCUACUGAGUGAAUGGAUAAUGGCUCUCAACCCUACAUAAUGGAAAGCAUUUUUAAUAAUGGUUUAAUAAUGACUGGCUGGGUUAGAAAGGGGUCCACUGGAAAUGGCAGAUAGUGAGAUAUUUUCCUUAUAGGUUAAGAAGUCCUAGAAUCAACUUCACAAAUACCUGUUACAUCUUUGACUUCCCAAAGCAUAGCCUAGGAAUAGCUAAACUCCCCGUUUAAUGAAAGGACUGUAUGCGGACGUUGGGCAGAACUGGUUCUACAGAAAAUGUAGGAUAAAGAAAGACCCAUUGUUGAGUUUAUUCAGGACCUAUUCCAUUUACAUACAUUGGUAUGCUACAUUGUAUUUGUUGUUGUGGCUUAUGCAUAUUUCAUUAGAGUAAAGGAGGAGUUUAGGUGUCAAUCUGUUAACUAUCACUGCUGCUAAUAUUAUUUAGAUAUGCCCUGGGUUCAUAUUAGAAAACAUGUAGAAAAUUUGCAAGAACAGAAAGUCUUCUCAUUCAUGGAUUUCUUCCAGCUCUGCUCAUCCCUUUUACACUUUCCAGUCCCGUUCUAAUUUAUAAGCACUGGUGAAAAUCAGAACAUUCCUGGUUCCUGCUCCUUCAGUACCAUUAGCUGCAGUCCUGUUAAUCUGUCCUCUAAUGUUCAUAGCACAUGAAUAUCUCAGAAUCAUUGCCACUUUGUAGGCUUACUUCUAUGCUAAAUUUAAAACACAGCAAAUAUGUUGUGUCCUCUCUCCCAUUCUGUACAAAGACCCUAUAGUAAUUCCAGAAACAGCUACCAUCUGACUCCAAUGCUUGUUGCCAUGUCAUCCUUAACCUGAAUCCAAUUUUACCCACAAAACCUGUUGAAACAGCUACCCAUCAUGACUUAUGAGCGUGUUUGGGACAGAAGCUGUACGCUAGCAAAUCUGCACAGUGCUCUAAGGAGCACCCUGAGUUUCUGUUACUGACAUCCUCUUGUAAUUCUCUGCUUAGGAGGAGGAAAUUUUCUGUCCUAGUAGGACUGGGAGGAGGUGUUAUGUUCUUAAGCCACACAUUGUGUGAGAUACGUCCAUUUGCUGGGGGACAACAGAAAGACUGCUCUGUAAUGUGCACUGUAAUUUCCACUCCUGCUUUUUUCUAACACAAGAUCUCUCAAUAGGGUAUAACACGAUGAUCAUGACAAAAGGCCCUUCGUCAACAUUAGCAGCUGCUCAAUUUUUAUCUCUUGUUUUCCCACAAACUCCAUCUCCAGAAAAAUACGAAGUGCACCUUAAAGAAGCUCUCAGCUGUCUACUACUUUGUUCAUUUCCAAAACAAAUGUGAAAUACAUUUUGGUCUCUCCUCUGUUUCUAUCUUGUCUGUCUCUAAUUUGUGACUAAUUUAUGAUUCUGAAAACUUGAACUGUUUCCUUAAAAUUUAUUCUUUAUUUGUUGUAGGAGUUUUGAGUGAUAUCUGAAGCUCUUUUGCUUUGUGGAUUAGCACAUUUACCCUCCCACUACUUAGUCCAACUCUGAGGAAGUCCAAGACUAAUUUUUGGCUCAUUAUUCAGUUGACCAAUAAAUAAUGUGAGGGAUGUGAAAAGAAGCAGUAAGAUAUAAAGCUAAUAAGUGUGUAAAAAAAAAAAAUAAAAUAAAAAAAGAAAGAAAAAAAAAAGCAGAGUAUUGCUCAGCGAAGAUCUAACAGGAUGCAUUAAGGAGCAACAAAAUGAAACAAAGAAAUAUGAAAUCUCAGCAUGACUACUAGGAGCAAUGUAGCUGAAGACAGUAAAAUAAUCUCCCAAUAGACAGAGCAAAGAAUUAGUCACUUGAACAACUACAGACAAACUAAUAAAUGCUAGAAAGCUUUCAGUCAAUAAACUGGAUUAAAACUCUGACAUUUCUGAGAAUAAAAUAUAUAAAAGAGCACAACUCUCUUUGAGAAGGUGGAGGUUAUUCAGAUCUGGAAAGGUAUUUGCUGUGCAAGGUCUCAUGUAGGCUGACAACAGCUUCCUGCAGUCUGUCCUGGGGGGAAAGGGGGUGCUAAAUCCUCACAUCUGCCAUCCCAGUGCACAGCUGUGAGUUGUGCAGGGAGAACCAUCCCUGCUUGCCCAGCUGCCCUUCCAUUCACUGUCACUCAGCAAGUAACUAUUUCACAGGCCUUACUGAAAACAAAAGGACCUUUCAGGAAUGAAAUCAAAUCUCGCCUCAGAUAGGAAGGCAGCUGGGAGACACAUGAAAGCUUCUGCUUGCUGUCUCUUACUUGUCUCAUGAGGUUCGGAUCCAAAGCAUCCCAGCAAACCACCCACAGCCCCUUCAGGAAGGUCAGUGCUGGAAGGAGGAUUCUGAAUGCUUGGUACCCUGCAGAGAGGUCUACAGCCAGACAGAUAAAUAGCUCACUAACCAGUUAGAUGAGAAAUAGUAGACAUGGAAAUAGAAUACAAAAAGAAAAAAAAAAAAAAAGAAAAAAAAAGAAAAGAAAAAAAAAAAAAAAAGAUCAAAAACGAGCAUUGCAUUUCACCAUGGAUUUUUUUUUCCUCCCAAAAGAAGAUCCUGUGCUUUAUAAACCUGAGGAUUCAUUUCUCCCAUUGCUGAUAGUUUUGUCACUUUGGGGGCAGAAGGCAGCAGCUUUUAACACCACUCAGUUAUGUUACAUAUCCCACAAAUAUUUUAGGGCACUUUCUAACUUUGGGGGAAAGAGUAUCACCUGUUAAAACAGCAUCAUUAUCAAUAAUCUCUGCAGUCUCCCUUGAAGGCUGUUUUCUCAUCUGAGAACUGAUGAGGUCCAACACUGUUUUAGCUCUCUAAUUAUUUUAAUUUCAAGACAUUAGUGCUGCUGAUUAGGAAAUACAUUGCACCCAGAAAAUGGAUGGCUUUCAUUCCUAAGGGUAUGUCAAUGCUGCAAAACAGCUCGCUUGCAGCUCACUGUGCAAGCACAGCAUUGAGAAGUCAAGAAAAUUAACCCAUGUGGAGCUCCCUGGUAACGUGCCCAGAUGCCUUCUGAUACUUAAAGUCACUUAUUUACAAGCACAUUCAGUAUUUAUACUUCACUGCAGUCUGGAACAUGAGUUAUUCUGAGAAAACCAAGAGUGGGAGAAGAGCUGCAGUUCAGACAAAAGUACAGUCAAUAAAAAGGCUGCUUCUUUUUGACUUCAAGAGAAUAUACAGACUGCUCUUUAGAAUGGUGCAAAACCAGACUGAGGAUAACAUUUUUACUACUGAUAAUGGAGACAAGACUUCUUUAAUUCAUGAGCUUUUUGAAAGGUUUCCAAGAAUACCAGGCAAGGAAAUGAAAUCUGCAUCCCAAGGAAAUGAUCCCUUUCCAAAAUUGUUAAUCUUUCCUUAUGACAUGUUUUGGAAUACAAAUGUAUCCAGAGGGGGUUUAUUCAGCAAUAUGUUGUGUUCAUGUAAGUGAUCAAAUUGGGGUUUAUUAUAGUGGUACAUAUGUUAACAAUAACUCAAACUUUUAUUCACCCUGUUUCACCACCACAGCUGCUCUUGGUUUUUCUUACAGCCCCACCCAGUGACACUUGGAACACAAGCAGAUACACGUAUGUAUUACAGGGAGUGAUGUUUUACAUUGUUAUUAGAGAACUCGGCUUCCUUCAGCAUGCAACGUUAUCAUAACAAACUCAUGACUACAUACUUCAACUGUCACUAUAUUGCAUUCCAUUUCUGCUGAAAUCAGCAGAAUUAGAAACCAGAUCUGGUUCCUACAUUCACUUCUGAUGAAUUUUUGCAGUACAGGGACUGAAGGCAAUUACAGGGCGUCUGGAUGUGCCAGAUUCAAUCCAUUUGGAGGUCUGUCCCCUCAGCACAUUCAGCGAAGCUAUUUAAGGGUUCUGUGUAAUGGGACGUACAAGUAAAUAAAGACAACGAGAACUUAAUAUUAAAUUCAGUAAGCGGCUCGUAAGUGAUGAGUGUUUUCUCCAAAAAGAAAAAAUGUUGUGGAUGAGAAACAGAGAGGGAGAUGCUAUGCAUCUGAGUGUAUGCAGUGAGAAAUUCUCAAUUUCCCAGAGCGCUCCUUAAUAGAGUGUCCCCAGAAGGAAGUGAAAUAUAAGCCUGACCUACGUUUCCAAAAAUGAGUAGCAAUUCUGGUUGUUCAGGUAAAGACAAUUCUGCAUCAUAAAACUCAAGCAUCUUAAAGUCUCUUAAGACAGGCAUAAAAAAAUGUAACCAUUAACCACCACAAGUUCUGAAAACACAGAAUUUCCUCUUAUUUUGAGCAAAAAGUAACAAGAGUUGUUGUUGUUGUUGUUGUUGUUAAUAUUAUUAUUAUUAUUAUUAUUAUUUAACUUGAAACAAUGCUUAGAAACAGCAGGUCUUAAAUCAAGAACCAAAUGGGGAAAGUUAAAAAUUCCCUAACACCAGGCUUGGGCAGUAUGAAUUCUGAGAAAAUUACUAAUUUUUCUUUUAUGCCCUGAACCCAGAACAAAAGACAUUUUACACCAGAAUCCUAACUUUGCUGAUGGCUGGGUCGCAGACAGUUCAAAAGAAACUUCUAAAACAAAAUUUACUAGAAAGCCAAUGCUCUAAAUAAAGUAAGAGGAAAGGAAACGUGUCAUGAAGGAUAUAAACAACCUUCUUCAAACACAGAUCUUAAACAACAAGCUCUUGAACAUGCACGAAACCUGAAGUCCCAAAUGAAACAGCCUGCUUUUCUUUUGCAAUAAAAAGUGGCAUCAAGCUGAACAACAUUUGCAGACCUUAAUAAUAAACAUCGAUCUAGACCAUCUCAAACCCUUACAAACAAGGGUUGGUAAGUGAGCGUGCUGCUAGUGAAAACCAGAGGAUGCAUCACUGCAGUUACCCAUGGGGAUAACCAGAGGAUAUUUCAAAUGGGGUAGAGACCAUCUUUCUUCUUGAGAAGGAAAGGUUAAAGAAACCACAGCGAGAGGUGUUGAGCAAGGAAACUCCCAUGUUCUCCAUACCUGGACAUGAACAGUGCAAGGAUGACGCUCAGGACAGAGCAGAUUCUUUCUCGUUUUUUGUAAGUGUUUAGAAAAUACUUGGGAUACUUUGGAAAUAGUUGGGUUGUGUGCAAAUAAACAAUGGCAAGAGUAAAACAGUGUGCUGUUUAUACAUCUGCACACAGACAUGAAUUUUAUAUCCAUGUCAGUUUAAGAAGGAUAUGAAAUGCCUUCAUUCUAAAAGAGUAAGAAAAAGUCUUUCAAGAUAUCUUGAAGGAGACAAAUACCGACUGUGUGCUUGGAAAGGUACAUUGCUCUCAUUUCUUCGGCAAAUACUUCUAAGCAAAUAGUACUCCAACAAAACCUCAUUUUACCAUGUUCAGCAUUCAGUUUGUUCUUUGUAUUAUGUUGAAAUGUAAGAAAAUUGUUUCUUAUAUUGCAAUUUAGCAAAUUUUAGCAAAAAAAAAAAAUUAGAAAAGAAAAAAAAAAAGACAAUAGGCCCGGAUCUCACUCGAGGUCCUAGGCUAUUACAAGAAAACAAUGCAACAAAACCAAUUACACCAGUUCUGGUGCUGGCAUUUUGCUUUUCAGUUCAUAGGACAAAUAAUCUCAAUUAUUGAGAGGUAAAUCAGGCAUGAGCUUGUUUACUACCCAUCAUAACAGCCCAGGAAUCUAUUUAUAGUCUAUAUCCCAUGGUUACUUGCCCAUAUAGUCAGACCUUUGCUGUUAUAGAAGGCAGCAACAUCUGUGGAGCCAUGGAGGAUAUUUAAUGUUUGUUUCAUUUCUUCCAACUUCAGUAUUCUCAAAAUAAAAAUGAAUUACACACUCAAAUAGUCAACUGUGCAUUUCCUUAAGUCAUCCUACAGACAAUAAUUCCAUGAAUAAAAAAAAAAAAGAGGACUAAUUAGACUUGAACUAUAAUUGCUUUGGCAAAGGCAGAUCGCUCGUAUCACCACAGACAGGAGGCAAAGAUUUCUGAGUAACCACCAGGGCAGUAUUACUGCAGCCAUGCUCCUUAACCAGCAAAGAACAUCUUGCCUUGCUAGCUUAGCCAUUCAGGCUGUCCUGUGCUGUCCCAAAGACCAGAUUUGCAAAUGCAGACUCAGACAAGAAGCCUUCAUUCAUGUGGGUAACUGCAUAUGAGUAGGACUAGUUCCUGAUAAAUCUCUAUUCCUAGUCUGCUUCUUAUCUAGCUCAUGACUGUAUGCCAAACCGACCUCGCAGAACUUCAUUUCACAGCAUGUUCUCCAUUUCUGUGUACACAAUUUCAAUUUACAUGUGCAUUAGCACAGCAGCACCAUCAACAUUGCGAUGGUAAAAAUCAAAUAUGUUGGAUUACAAAGAUGACAGCAAAGACACAGAAACAUGCGCUCUUUUUAAACAGGAAAUACUAUUGUGGAGAAUAAAGCUAAACAAACGGGCUAUAGAUUUAGAAGGCCUCUAACAAUAGAAUCGGGAAAGAAAUGUAAAGUUUCAAAAUACAAUCUGAAGUGACUAAAGACAAGUCCAGGGAGACUCCCUGCUAUACUCAUUUCAUAAAACAUAACUUUCCUAGAAGCAGAAUAAGAGUGGCAUUCCAACUGGGCUUCUUACCGAUAGCAAAGCAAAGGCUUCUAUUAAAUUAGAUAGGGGCUUCUUAAAAAUACUUUUGUACAAAUUAAAGUUAAAAUGAAGCUAAAAAUAAUAAACUAAAAGUGUGCAACUUAAAAAAAGGCAUACCGUGGAUGUUUUACAAACCAGAUUAUUCCCCAAAUGGUGUAAUUAUUCUAAUGAAUUUGCCUCCAGAAUAAAUGGUGGCUCAGUAGGAACUAGUGAAGCAUAUUAUUGUGAAAAAGGUGUUUUGCAAGUAUGAUUGAAACUUCAUGAUGCCAGCCAUACAAGAUUUUGUAGGUACACAGAAGGACUGUAUCAUUGCACUGCCAAGUUGCUGUCCAGGCCAAUUACACAUGCAUGUGUGCUGCUGGUUGCUGGAGAUGAACACCACCGCAGGAGGCAGGAUACAUUGGCAGACAGAGGCCAAGCAAAUUUCCAUUUGCAUAAACCCACGUACAAUGCAAGAAAAAUUAAUGGACAGCAACAACAGCUUUUUACACAUUGUGUGCACAAGACCAUGCAUCUAAACACAGCUUUUCACGGAGAACUAUAAAAUGAAUGGGGUGGUAACAGGAAUAUUUGGGCAGAGGGUAAGCACAACUAGGUUCUGACUUGGUAGUCAAAUCUUUUAGCUCAUGUAAGCAACAAAGUACAUGGGCAGCAAUACUCUAUACUCACCUAGCAUACUGAUGUAUGUACUUCAGUGAAGUCCAAUCCUUCACAAACACCAAGUCUAUCAUCCCAACAUGAUUAUUCUCUACCUAUAAAUUAGUAUGACUGGAAAAUGGCAAGUGACAAAUUACCAGCUUUUUAAUUCAAUCUGAUGGAAGGAUCUGUCUUGUCCAGAUUCUCAUCCUUGUAAUGUUAGCUAUGGGUGCUGUGACAGAGUACAGUGGAAGAAGUAGAAAGCACCUUUUCCAGUGACGAAAUCCUGAAUAUUAGUCUGAAAUUAUGAGCAGAGUUUGCUAAAAUAUGAAGCAAGCUCAUUUGAAGUAUUUCCAUAAUGAUCUACAUCAAGCAUGUAGCAUGUCUAAUAACAUUUGAUGAGCCACAAAAGGAACCAAUAGCUGCUAAAGCCCAGAGACAAGAGUCCCACCGAGUCUGAACAAAAUCAUUACAAAUGAGUAGAGCAAUGUUUGUGCUAGAGGAAAGGAUGGAAUUUGUUAGAAGUACAAUGGCAGCUCAUAUUCCUGACAGUGAAUAACUAGUAAAAUGGGAGGUUUGUUUGUUUGCUAGAAAGAUCUUACAGCAAAAUAAAUAUUGAAAAUUGAGAAAUAGCUUGCAGUGAUGAACUCUGGUAAAUCCAACCUCUUUUACAAGGGAAUACCAAAGCAGAUUUUAAACAUUUGGCUGUUUAUCAGAAGCCAGAGGAAGAUUAACUAUGUGAGUGAAAAAUGGGGCCAAGAAACUGAAAACAGCUUUUCACAACUAAGGAAAGCCAAGGAGGAACUUAGUCUAAAAAGCAUUUGGAAAGAAAUGUUAAGAUCACUUCACUUGUAAUAAAUGGAUCAUUGAAUCAAGAGGAUUUUGAAUUCCUUACGGAGCUGUGUAGGAACCAUAGGAUUGAGAAAGAGAGAGAGCAUCAAAGCACUAACAGCAUCAGGCCCGUCAGAGCAGGUACACGCAGAAACCAUAACAAGUGCACCAGUACUCCCACUGGUACUAUGGCUUGUGCUUGCUCGCAGACAGUACAGAGGUGUGAGAUGGCUUAUAGAAAAGUCACCAAAAUGGAGCACCUGACCAACAUUCCCAACCUCCUUGUACAAUCCGGCAAACCUGUACUUAAGUUCCUAACUUUGGAAAUAAAUUUCUCUGAAGCACAGCACCAGCUCUGCUACUGACUCCCUCUGCAGCCUUGGACACACCACGUUCAUCUCUGCUGCUGCUUCCAUUAUUAUAAAAGCUACAGAAUAUUCCUCUGUAAGGACUCCUACAACUUUUAUGUGCCAACCACAAAGAGGGCAAAAUUGCAACAAAACUGAGUCAUGGGUAGCAAAAAAUUUCUGCUUGGAAAGCACAGAGUAGAGGAUGGCACCAAAAGGUAGCAUGAAAGAAGAUGCUAUCAGGAAUUAGUACAGCAUGUUUCACUCUAAAAAUAGCAAGAGAAUAGCUACUACUAAUGGAACAUGGGCUUCCCUAUAGAAGGGCAUGCUUGGAGAGUGUCUUUAGACUUCACUCCAGGCCCAGGAACUUCUCUAAAAUGAGCACUGGCAGCUGCCCUGCUGGGGGAUGGACAGCUGCUAUACCUUGGGCAUUGUGCAAACCUGACAGAAACAUAAAUUAUUAUUAGUCUGAACAGAAUAGGUUAUUGCCAUAAAAAAUGACACAAUUAUCAUUUCCUUGACCAUUUGAUGAGAGUAUUUUAAUAUCUUUAAGAUGUUUUGUAAGCUACGUGUAAAUAGUUUGAAAAAUCAUUUAAAAAUAUACCCUGCUGCUCAAUCGUGGUUGCAGAAUCUCACUGGAAAUUGCCUUCCCUAGCCUGGGGUUCUGUUGAAGUGCCAAUAAAUAAAGGUUACUAGUAAAACCUUGAAUUUGCUGUGUUCAGCUACUCCUAAAGAAUGCAAAGUUUUUCUGUGGAGUAAGACUAGUCACUACACAGAUUUUAGGCACGCUUUCUCACAUAUUAGGAAAAAAGAGGGAGAAGGGAAACAAAGCCAAAACCUCUGACGUUUUUUGUUUUUUGUUUUUUGUUUUUUUUUUUUUUUCUGGCUGAUCUCAAACUGUAAGAAUUCCCCAAUCACAAAAAAGCUCUGCUCUAGCUAAGGAAACGAUGUUGAUUAGAAAAAAAAAGUUCCAGAUGUUAACUGAAAGCGAUUUCAAGAAGGGAAAGGGGGAAAGAGAAGGCAUGCGAGGUGACCCCACCCUAGGCAGGAAACACAGUGAGAGCAUUGCACCCUCUGUGCUGGGAUGCAGCCAAGUGCUCCCCAGCUCUCACACUCACACUGGGCUGUUCUCCUUCCCCCUCCAGGCAGAUGCUAGAGCUCUUCCAGUUUAACCCCAUGAAUUCUUUGUAUCCUUUCUGAUUCACAUUACUGAAAAAACACAUAAAAAUCAGAAGUAAAGUUACAGUGGGAAGA